rnacentral:lncRNA from 1 species
GGGACCCACCUACAUAGCACCAGCAAGCCAUUUAACUCUCAGAUCUUACUGUCUUCAUCUCCACAGGCAUCAGACCAGAGCACCCAACUAAGGAAACUGGAGACCAUGAGAAGCCACUGGAAGUCUGUGAGCAGGAGAAUGACAUUGUAACAUGACCAAAGGAGAACAGAGCAAAGGGACCACGACUGUCCCGAGGGCUCCAGGGCAGGCAGAACCCUGCUGCCCAUCCAGUACCAGCCGC